UACGUAGGGUCCGAGCGUUGUCCGGAAUUACUGGGCGUAAAGAGCUCGUAGGUGGUUUGUCGCGUUGUUCGUGAAAACUCACAGCUCAACUGUGGGCGUGCGGGCGAUACGGGCAGACUGGAGUACUGCAGGGGAGACUGGAAUUCCUGGUGUAGCGGUGAAAUGCGCAGAUAUCAGGAAGAACACCUAUGGCGAAGGCAGCUCUCUGGGACGGUACUGACGCUGAGACGCGAAAGCGUGGGGAGCGAACAGG
rnacentral:rRNA from 1 species